rnacentral:lncRNA from 1 species
UUGGUAAUGUUUUUCUCUGUUCUUUAAGUAUUUAUUGCGACAUUUUUUCCAUGUCCAUCACAGUUCUUGUCUCACUUUGUUUGGAUGAUAAUUUUCGGCAUAUCUGAUAAAUUAAAUGGAGCUAUGGCUGAAUAAAAAUUUACAUAUUAUCAAUGAUGAUAUAUAAGUUAAUGUAUCCCAUUUUUACAAAUAUCUAAGGUUUCUCUUUUCUUUUUUUUGUAGAUUCCUGAUACUUCAAAUGCUCGCAUAGAUGAUGAUGAUGGAGUUGAAUCUCGUCCCUGAUACUUUGUAGAUUGUUUUUUAUGAAGUUUGAUAUGUAAAAGUACAUUGUAAUUCAUAACUUUUUAUGUAAAUUUAUAUUUCGAAUGAUCUAAAUGUUUGUCAAUAUCAAUGUAAUUUGAAUGUUUGGUUCAUAUUGUAUAAUGUGUGUUUUAUGAUUUAUGUAAAUUUAUAGAGUUUGA